AGAGUUUGAUCAUGGCUCAGAAUCAACGCUGGCGGCGUGCCUAACACAUGCAAGUCGAACGAGAAAGUGGAGCAAUCCAUGAGUAAAGUGGCGACCGGGUGAGUAACACGUGACUAACCUACCUCCGAGUGGGGAAUAACUCCGGGAAACCGGGGCUAAUACCGCAUAACAUCGCGAGAUCAAAGCAGCAAUGCGCUUGGAGAGGGGGUCGCGGCUGAUUAGCUAGUUGGUAGGGUAAGAGCCUACCAAGGCAGAGAUCGGUAGCCGGCCUGAGAGGGCACACGGCCACACUGGCACUGAAACACGGGCCAGACUCCUACGGGAGGCAGCAGUGGGGAAUCUUGCACAAUGGGGGCAACCCUGAUGCAGCGACGCCGCGUGAGCGAUGAAGCCCUUCGGGGUGUAAAGCUCUUUCGGCAGGGAAGAUUAUGACGGUACCUGCAGAAGCAGCUGCGGCUAACUACGUGCCAGCAGCCGCGGUAAUACGUAGGCAGCGAGCGUUGUUCGGAGUUACUGGGCGUAAAGGGUGUGUAGGCGGUUCUUUAAGUUUGGUGUGAAAUCUCCCGGCUCAACCGGGAGGGUGCGCCGAAUACUGAGGGACUAGAGUGUGGGAGAGGAAAGUGGAAUUCCUGGUGUAGCGGUGAAAUGCGUAGAUAUCAGGAGGAACACCGGUGGUGUAGACGGCUUUCUGGACCAUAACUGACGCUGAGACACGAAAGCGUGGGUAGCAAACAGGAUUAGAUACCCUAGUAGUCC
rnacentral:rRNA from 1 species